ensembl:lincRNA
GGCAGUUCUGCGGCGGGCUUGUGGGGGCGGGGCCUGGAGCAAGCGACCGAGCCAUUGGGGCUCUGGGCGGUGGAGGCGGCAGCAGCGGCGGCGGCGGAGCGGGAGAAGGAGCGGGACCCCGAGCACCGGGCCAUCUUCAACCAGGGGCCCUGGGUGAAGUGCUCUGCUGCCCUUGCCUCCAGCCACCACCUUUUUGGCACUAGAACAGUGCUUUUUCUAGUGCACUCAUCAGUGGAUGCUGAAAUCACGACCUGGCCAUUUGGAUGUUCAACUAAUGCUUUAUGCUGCGGAGUCCCUGCAACUCACCACCCCAUGCCGGAACUCACUGGAGCUCAGAGUCCCAGACCCAGGCCAACGUGGCCCUCCGUGGCAGGGAUGGUGGGGUCAGUGUGGACCUGGCAGCCCUGGUGGCUUGACCACCGCACGGCCUACUGCAGAUGGUGGCCAAUGCCAGCCACACAGUGCGUGCUCUUCAGAGGCUAGGUCUGCCCUUCUCCAGCCAGGUAAGGAGUGGACGGGGAGGACCUCCCUCCAAAUUCUGUCCCCUCUGACCAAUUCCUGGGGUGCAGAGGACCCGCUGUGUGCAGGGCAGGUGGGGAGGGCCAGGCUUUGGGUUUCCCCAGCACUUUACAGUUGACAAAGGCUUCAUUUGUAAUCGCUGUAACCAGGUCUGCUGAGCAGUCUCUGCCUUCCCAAUCGCAGGGCUGGUGUGGAUGGGCACCCUGGAUUAGCGUCUGGCUUCUGACCUGUCUUUCUGCCCUGCAGUCUUGGGUCAGAAUCAAAGCUCCUGCUUGUCCAGUGCCCGCCCCGUGCCAGCCCCCUUUGAAGGGUUCAUGGGCGUUUGUUAGUUUCAUCCUCCCAAUGCCCCAGAGAGAGGCAGGAUGGCCCCUUCCUUACCAAACUUUUUCCAGUGUUUAGAUCCCACCUCUGCUGCUUGCCAGCUGUGUAGCCAUGGGCAAACUCCUUCGCCUCUCCACGCCCUCAUCUCUUAAUCUGCAAAAUGGGGAUGAUGAUACUACCUAUAACGGGGAGGUUGUGAGGAUUGAGUGAGUUAAUCUCACGACUGCCUGAGUAGAUGCUCAAGAAGCACUUGUGACAAAGAUGGAAAAGGUGAUGCUGAUGGUGUGACAGUGACCAUUAUCAUCAUCAUCACCAUCGUCUCUGGGUCACAGGUUAGAGUGUGGGUGACUUGCCCAAGGUCACCUAGCAAGCAAGCAGCAAAAUAGGGCCUCAGACUUGGCACCCAGGUCCUUCCUCAUGGGGCCCUCCUGCCUCAGUGGAGGAACUCACAUGGGGCCAUGCCGUGGCCACUGUUACUUGGCAUGAACUCAUCCUGCCUGGCUGGCCCUCCUUCUCCAAGAGCCACAGAGUGUGUUCCAGAGCAGACUCCAAUGCUUCUUUCACAUACACACUCCUGUUUCAGAUUACCCAGCAACCCCUACCCCAGUCCACUCUGCGGUGGGAGCAGCGGGUGGCUCUUGGGGGCUCAGAGGGCCAGGAUGUCACCCCUCCUGCAAAGGAUCUUGGCUCUGUACCCCACAACUGGGUGGACUGGAUACCCCAUGCCCCUGACUUAUCUACACUCUAUCUUGGACUUGAGGCCAGGUGAUGGGGAGCCCCCCGGGGAGCAUGUUCUCGGCUGAUGUCUGUGCUGCA